UAUUGUUACCGGACCUGUUCAAGGCCGUUCCGUCAGCGUUUUCAGACGCAAAGGGGUCGUGGCUGCUGGUGCGGAUCUUCGGUCUACACUUUUAGAGGUCACAGCAGCAAAAGAUGAACGGAACCCUGUGGAAGGUGCUGUGCCUGCGGAACAAUACCAUUUUUAAGCAAGGCUUUUCCCACUUGAGAUUCAGAGCUUUGGGAGAGAAUCCCACUUAUUCUGCAGGU